rnacentral:rRNA from 1 species
UACGUAGGGGGCAAGCGUUGUCCGGAUUUAUUGGGCGUAAAGAGCGUGUAGGCGGCUUUGCAAGUCCGUUGUGAAAACUCGAGCUCAACCUCGAGACGCCGGUGGAAACUGCAAAGCUAGAGUCCGGAAGAGGAGAGUGGAAUUCCUGGUGUAGCGGUGAAAUGCGCAGAUAUCAGGAAGAACACCCGUGGCGAAAGCGGCUCUCUGGGACGGUACUGACGCUGAGACGCGAAAGCGUGGGGAGCGAACAGG